rnacentral:rRNA from 1 species
UAGGGAAUUUUCGUCAAUGGGGGGAACCCUGAACGAGCAAUGCCGCGUGAGUGAAGAAGGUCUUCGGAUCGUAAAGCUCUGUUGUAAGAGAAAAACGGAUCAUGUAGGGAAUGACAUGAUAGUGAUGGUAUCUUACCAGAAAGCCACGGCUAACUACGUGCCAGCAGCCGCGGUAAUACGUAGGUGGCAAGCGUUAUCCGGAAUGAUUGGGCGUAAAGGGUGCGUAGGUGGUACAUUAAGUCUGAAGUAAAAGGCAGCAGCUCAACUGCUGUUCGCUUUGGAAACUGGUGAACUAGAGUGCAGGAGAGGGCGAUGGAAUUCCAUGUGUAGCGGUAAAAUGCGUAGAUAUAUGGAGGAACACCAGUGGCGAAGGCGGUCGCCUGGCCUGUAACUGACACUG